rnacentral:rRNA from 1 species
CUGUAAACGAUGUCGACUUGGAGGUUGUGCCCUUGAGGCGUGGCUUCCGGAGCUAACGCGUUAAGUCGACCGCCUGGGGAGUACGGCCGCAAGGUUAAAACUCAAAUGAAUUGACGGGGGCCCGCACAAGCGGUGGAGCAUGUGGUUUAAUUCGAUGCAACGCGAAGAACCUUACCUACUCUUGACAUCCACGGAAUUCGCCAGAGAUGGCUUAGUGCCUUCGGGAACCGUGAGACAGGUGCUGCAUGGCUGUCGUCAGCUCGUGUUGUGAAAUGUUGGGUUAAGUCCCGCAACGAGCGCAACCCUUAUCCUUUGUUGCCAGCACGUAAUGGUGGGAACUCAAAGGAGACUGCCGGUGAUAAACCGGAGGAAGGUGGGGAUGACGUCAAGUCAUCAUGGCCCUUACGAGUAGGGCUACACACGUGCUACAAUGGCAUAUACAAAGAGAAGCGAACUCGCGAGAGCAAGCGGACCUCAUAAAGUAUGUCGUAGUCCGGAUUGGAGUCUGCAACUCGACUCCAUGAAGUCGGAAUCGCUAGUAAUCGUAGAUCAGAAU